UUCUUUUAUUCAUGUUAUGUUUCAGAUAUCAAUGAGACACUCAGCCAGAGUUGUCUGAUAGGAAGUUGAUAAGGCAAGCAUAAGACAAGCUCAGAAGAGAGACUGGGAUUGGAUAUAUAGAACUAGAAAUUAUCCACCUAAUGAUAAUAAUCGAAUGUAUGCCACGUCAGGACAAGGGCUACUUGCUUUGUUGUUGUUACCUAUCCUGCCUUAUAAUCUUUCACAGAGUUCUGAGUUCAAGUUGCAGGCUGAUGCAGAAUAUGCUGAUUGGACCUAAGACCUUAGACUUGGUGAAACUGUCCUUGAAUCUCUCCCUUUGGACAUGAAUUUAAGAUUUGGAAGUGACCCCACUGGUCAUCUCAUCCAAAACAAAAAUGAGUGCUUAUCAUUGUGGUAGAGGAUGGGCCUCUAUUUUAAGAUCUUUCAGUAAAAGGAGCCUACCACUCCCUGAGACAACUCACUCCACUUUUGGACAGCUCUCAUGAUUAUGGAAGGAAGAAAAGAAGGAAGAAAGAAGGAAGGAAACCUCAAGUGCCUAUUGUAUGGAUUUCCAAGUAAAGCAUCAGAGGAACUUUGUCAUUUUCUUUCAAAAUGUGGAAUUGGAAUUCAGAAUGAUUGGACCACUUCACAACUUCUGCCUUCCCAGAACUAUGUAAACAUUGACUGUUUUAUUCUUUGUGAUCUUUGUCAAUUUGGGAAUUGUGAGGUAAAAUUAGAGAAUUGUUUAUUUUGAGUAUCUUACUAUUAUGAUUUGGAGAAAGGUUCAAGCCAUUUACAUGUAUCUUGGCUCUUAUUUGGUAAAUUGUUUGUAUUUUUUAAUUUUUUAGUGAAAUUUAUUUUAUUAUGGUUUCAUCUGGUCUUUUAUUGGUACUUUAUGGAAAUCCUGAUUAUUCUUGGGGCUGAUUUUGUAUAUUACUAUCCCAAUGAUUCUAUUAAUCAUCUCAAUAAGGUUAUUUGCUCUUUGUUCUUUUCCUUUUGUAGGAAAUCAUCAUGGCAUCUUCACAUCAGGAUAGUUUUCUGACAUUUUAUUCCCUUCUUUUAAGUUCUGUCUGCCAACCUUAGAUCUAUGCCAAAGAAUAUUGGUGACAGAAGGCAUCUUUCCUUUUCUUUUUUUUUAAUUAAAAACCCUUACCUUUUGUCUUAUAAUCCAUACUAAGUAUAUUUUGGGGUAGAGUCUAGGAAAUGUGGUUAAAUGAUGUGUCCAAAGGUUACAUAAAUAAGAAGUGGCUGAUGUCAAAUUUGAAAUCAGGACCUCCCACAUCUCUAACAACUCAGUCUCCUAGCUUCCCUAAGGCAUACUUUUUAAAAUCCCUGCUUUUUCUGGGAAAUGCUUUAGUUUUUGCCCCAAAUAAACAGAAUUAUUUGAUUUUAAACA
rnacentral:lncRNA from 1 species